rnacentral:rRNA from 1 species
AGCGAACGCUGGCGGCAGGCCUAACACAUGCAAGUCGAACGAACUCUUCGGAGUUAGUGGCGGACGGGUGAGUAACACGUGGGAACGUGCCUUUUGGUUCGGAAUAACUCAGGGAAACUUGUGCUAAUACCGAAUGUGCCCUUCGGGGGAAAGAUUUAUCGCCAUUAGAGCGGCCCGCGUCUGAUUAACUAGUUGGUGAGGUAACGGCUCACCAAGGCGACGAUCAGUAGCUGGUCUGAGAGGAUGACCAGCCACACUGGGACUGAGACACGGCCCAGACUCCUACGGGAGGCAGCAGUGGGGAAUCUUGCGCAAUGGGCGAAAGCCUGACGCAGCCAUGCCGCGUGAAUGAUGAAGGUCUUAGGAUUGUAAAAUUCUUUCACCGGGGACGAUAAUGACGGUACCCGGAGAAGAAGCCCCGGCUAACUUCGUG